GGACGUGCGGCACCACGGACUCACGCAGGCGCGUUCCAUCGCUCGUUCAGUAAACCUGUUGAACCUAGCGCUGUUAGACCCUGAGACCUCAGAAGAAAAGACGUAGUUUCUGUUCUCGAGGGUAAGGUCCGAGCCUGAACCGUGAAACCAGAAACAUAUGAAGAAAGUUAAGCUAAAGCUUGGGAGCCACUGCAGGGAAAAAUUAAUCAAGUGACAGACAACAGUAAAGAAGAAGGACUUGAUUUUCAAAAAUGAUUCUCCGUGGUUCCACAGAAUGGUGUGCCGUGCAAGGUCAGGCCCACUUUAUUCCUGGUAAGUUGUCCGUGGAUUUUAGGUCAGACUAUGACUGAAUAUGAAUGGCUGCUGGAGUCAUCCAAGCUGGGUUGGGCUGCAGGCUGGGCUGGAGGGAUGUCCCCCACCCCGGGCACUCACCUGUGACUUUGGCCUUGAAGGGGCUGCCCACGAUGUGCUGGGGGCCACCGUACUUGAUGGCAAUGAGGUAGUUGCCAGGAGCCAUGGGAGUGUAAGUGACAACAUGGCCCUCAGGACACUCCCGACAGUCCAGCUGCACCUUGGAGGGGCCAUCGAUGGUGACAGACAAGGCCCCUGAGCCCGCAUUCAGGGUGUUGACAAUGAACUCUGAUGACACGCCUAGGGACCAGAGGUAGCAAGGCGGUAGGUUGGGCCCUAGGCUCCGAGAACAGAUCUCUGCAAGGACUCAGCCCUCUGGGACAGGGCAGUACAGGACCAGAAGCUGAGUGCCCCAAUAUCGGACCCUCCUCCCUAGCCCCAGGCACUCACCAGUAGUGCCUCCCUCAAGUCCAGGACCAUAAGCUGACACCAAGCCUGGGUCCCCAGCUUGGCUCUGUUCCCCAACGCGGAUCUUGAAGGGACUGCCAGGGAUGUGGGCACCGUUGAACUUGACAUCAAUAGAGUGGACGCCGUUCUCGUGGGGGAUGAAGCGGAUGGUGUGCUUGUCUGUGGGGCGGAGGGUUGGUGAGUGAGCCUUUGUUCUUCCCCUCCCCGUCCCAGAAGGGCCUGGCAUGGGUGGGCAAGGCCAGGGUCAGCUCACCGCUGUCCAGCUCAGAGACGUAGCACUCCUCCACCGCACCCGAGGGCGUGUGCACCCUCGCAUCAAUCACACCCCGAGCACCAUUCAGCUGCACCGCAAAGGACGCCGGCUGGUUCACCUUGAGCCCUGUUUCCUGCAGAGGCCACAGCCAGUGCUCAGAAUCCUGGGAGGGUCUGGAGCACUGCUGUCUGCAGCCUGACACUGAUCCCAGCCCCAGCCUGGCCCGGCUCAGGGAGGCUCUCACCAAGGCUCCCUUGGGAGGGGAGGGGGAGGCAGGGGCUGGGCCUAUGGCCUUGGCAUCUGCUAGGAGGUGGGGCCCACUUGGCUGUGUUGGGCACAGUGGAGGAUGACAUGACGUAUCCUGUCCUGACUAAAGAGAUAAGAUUCAAACACUAUAAAGCAGGUCAGGGCCCAGAGGCCCAGAGGAGGAAGGGUGUGGCCUAGACUGCCCUGGGGAGGCUCCCUGGAGGAGGUGAGUCACUGGGGAGGACUUGAAGAAGCACAAGGAGGCCAAUUGGGGGUGGGAGUGUGAGAAGAUGAUCCUGGGGUGAGGCAUGGUGCCCCCUGCUAUACAGAUACUGGGAAAGAGGGAGAGACAUCUGCCUGACUGUCUCUUCCAAGGUCACUGCUAAGCCCUGGACACAUGGACCUGCCUCCACCUCCUGCCUAUCUCUCAGGAUGGCAGAGGGGCCCCACCCCAUGGCACAUACCUGGAGGCUGGUGACAGUGAGGCGGCGAGCAUCAUCUGAGAGGGAGGCCACAGGUACCACAAAAGGGCUGUCUGGUAUGUGUUCAUCAUUGAACUUGAUGGAGACCUCAUAGUCACCUGGGGAGAGAAGGCUGGUCAGGACAGGCUCCUUGGGCCAGGGCUCAGGUCUGGAGACAGACUCGCACUCCCAGGGGUGUGGGGUGGAGGGAGAUGGGGUAGAGAAAGAGCAGGGGCCCAGGUGAAGCGGGAGUUCUGUAGCCCAUCUCUCUGCUCUGGUCAGCGAGCAGAAACCCAGUCUGGAAGGUCAGGCAGGCCCAGCUCCCGCCUCCAUCAUGGACACCCACCUGGUUCCUGGACAACAUAGGAGACCCCACAGGAGCCAUCUUUUCGGUCCUCAAAUGAAAUCUCCGCCUUGCUGGGACCCUCCACGGCAAUAGACAGGCCUCCAGCACCAGCUUCUCGGGUCCAAAUGCUGAAUUCAGCUGGGGACAGGGAAGCAGGGCAGAGGCAGUUCUUUAGCACGAUUGCCCAUCCUGCCAGCUGCCCUGCCCCCACCCCCUCUCCUGGACACCUGCCCCUCACCUGGCACACCGGCCACACCUCGCUCCAGUCCUGUGCCUCCAGCCCGCACUUUGUGGGCACCACCUUCACCCAGCGGCCCCACAGUGAACUGAAAGGGACUGCCAGGUACGUGCUGGCCGCGGUACUUGACGGUGACUGUAUGGGGCCCCAUUUCCUGGGGCACAAAACGCACACUGUACGCGCUGUCUUCUCCCUCGACAAUCUCUGCGGCUUCCAUCUUGCCCGAUGGGCUGGUCACCUGUGCAGUCAUGUCCUGGGAACUGGCCUCCCCUGCAGGAGGUGGGAUGGUUAGGCUGACACUGGGGCUGCCCCCAGCCUUGGACCUUCCCUCCCUCCCUCAGUAAGACCCCUCCCCUUCCCAGAACACCCUGGCCAGUUGCCUGUGCCCUCCCCAUCCUGUCCCAGGGGACAGAAGGCCCAGCCUCCCCGUGAGGACCCUGGCCCAGCACGGCCCUGCUUACCCUCCUGCUGCCGGGUGAUGCUGCCAAAGGAGCCCAGGCGCUCCCGGCCCAAGAAGUCCCCGAAGACCGCGGGGAAGGGGUCUCCACCAACCUGGGUGGACUCCUCUACCCGCACCUCACGCUUGGUCUCUCCGCCGCGCGUCUUGCUGAUCUCCGUGCGCUCUGUGCGGGUGUACGUGUGGCUGCUGCGUGUGAAGGUGCGCGUCAGGCGCUCCUGGGCAGACACCAUCUGGAACCAGUUCCCUGUGGGGCACGGAGCAGUGGAGGUGAGUGUGCCGGAAGGACGGGGCCCCGUGGGGUAGGCUCUGGGCCCGCUGCCCUCCCCAGGGCCCUGCCAGGCUCUUCCCGGCUCCUACCUGGGAUCUUGAGAUUGAGGUCACAGGUGCUGCCAAUGGUGGCAAUGGAAGGUGCCUGUCUCCGCCGCGUGAUGCUUUCCUUCAUGCGACCCUCACCGGUAACCUUCACAGUGAACGGGCUUCCUGGAGGGGGAGAGGCAGGGGGAGCGGAUGGCUCAGACACCGGCCUCCUGGCCUCUCCCUGCCCAGCUGUGGCCCAAAGCUUACCAGGCACGUGCUUGUCAGCAAAUUUGAUGUUUAUGAUGUAGGUGCCAGGCUCAGUGGGGCAGUAGGUGACUUUGCAUGUGCCAUCUUCCAUGUCUUCACAGUUGAUGUCCACCUUGCUAGGGCCUUCAAUACUCAACCCCAGGCCCCCGUAACCUGGCAGGAAGCAAAGGACACGUGUCCCUCAGGCCCUGCCACCCUGCUCUUCCCGCCCCCCCACUACAGGCUCUGUCUGGACCAGGCACCCAGCAUGUAUAACCACCAAUGAAAGCUGGCUCUGUGGGAGGAGGGGUAAGCCAGACACUGAGCCAGACAGUCCGGGAUGGGCAGUAUGGAAAAUUCCCCCAGGUGGGCCUCUUGGGUUCCAGUGAGUGAGGGACAGUCAGAAACUUAAGAGAGCUGAACUUUCUCUUAACAUUUAAGAGGAAUGACCCGGAACAUGUACUUUCCCUCAACUGGACCCCAGAACGGGAAGUCCAGGGAGGAGGCGAUGACUAAGGGCUGCUGGGCAGGAAAGUUCAAGUCCUUGUUGGAAGCACCAGCCAAAACAAGGGGUUUCUGGGGCGAGAAGCACCUGCGUUGCGAGUGUCCACGAUGAACUCCGCCACCUGGAAGGUGUGUCCCUCGGACAGGCCCUUGCCCCAGACCCGCACCUUGCUGGCAUCUCCGAUCUCAGAUGGCCCCACCAGGAUCUUGAAGGGGCUGUUGGUGACAUGCUUGCCACUUUUGCGCACGCUUACCACGUGCUCCCCAACCUCCUUCGGGGUGAAGGAGAUGCCUGUGGAAAGGGGGGUGGUCAGGCAUGGUGCCCAAGGCCUGGCAGAGCACCCCUUCCCAGCUCCUUUCAGGUCUUCCUCUUCCUGAGGCCCCUCCCCAUGGCCCCACACUCACCAAUGUGCCUGUUGGGCAGGCGCUUCAAUAGGCAGGGCUCCUCGUUGCCUGAGGGGGCGCGGAUGCUGGCAGUCAGCAGGCUCAGGUCACUCUCCGUGAUCUUCAGUGACACGUCCGUGGAGGUGCCCACAUUGAGCUGUGAUGUCCUCAUCGAGUCAUCGCCUGGUGGGGGAGUUUGACAUGUCAGGCGGUUAGGACUCCAGGUAGCGUGUUCUCAUGGGGCUCAGGAGACCUCCUGGCAGACCCCGCUGGACUCCACAGACCUGCCCACCCAAGGGGCAGAGAGGCCGAAGGCCCAAGAGAGCCUGGUCUUCAUUCACGUGUUAGCUGCCAAAGCUUCCAGACAGGCCCCCUACCCCAGCUGCCUUGUGGAUGCCUCCGGCCCAAAUAGGAUAAAUCCCUAAUCUGUGUGUUUUAAUCGCAAGUCACACAGUUUCACGGAACCAAAACACUAGACCAGUCGGCACGGAUCCCUUACUUGCUAUGUGGCUCUGGUCAAGUUGCUUAGCCUCUCUGGGCCUACCAAUCUAUCAAAGAGGUUUAUCAGUAUCCUAACUUCAUAAGAGUUACUCCAAACACUGAGAUGAUGUAUUUCAAAGCCUGAGGGGUGGUUGGAUAUUUCUCACCUGCUACAGGGAAUGGAAUGUUCCUGAUAUUUGUACAAAAAUGCCCUCUUCCACCCAAAAGGGGCCCCUACGCUAACAACCCUUGAUUACUUGAACACACUGGUCUUGCACAUCCAUCGUGUGCUGAGGGCGUGUACUAGAGGCCUGUGUGCCUACUUCCACCUCACCUGUGAUCUUGGCCGUGAAAGGGCUUCCUGGGAUGUGCUUGUCAUCAAAGCGCACGAUGAUGCUGUAGUCUCCAGGCGCUGUGGGUAAGUAGGAUACGGUGCAGGUGCCAUCCUUGUUGUCCUUGCAGGUGAUCUCUGCCUUGGAUGGGCCCUCCACAGCCAGGGACAGGCCCCCUGUAGGGGGAGGUGGGGCUGAGAUCAGAGGUCCUGCCCUCAUCCCUGCAUCUGGCCUCCUGCUCCAGCCCUCUGCCUGCAGCUCCCCUCACCUUCCCCAGCAUCCUUGGUGACAAUGGUGAAGGUGGCCGGCUUGUUGACCAUGCCAUGGCUCAGGCCUGGCCCAUAAGCACUCACAUGGCGGCUAUUGAUGGCAUCCACGUAAAACUGCAGGGGGCUUCCUGAAGGAAACAGAGAAAGGGGACUGGGUCAGUAGUGAGGACGGGAGCUGCUUGAGCCCACCACAGUCCCAAGUGCCUUCCUGUGGCUUCCCUGUCUGCUGUGGGGGUCUGUGAUGGAAGCCUGCCUCCCACCGAGACACCAGCCUCCCCAGGGCCUGGGGGUGUGUGCUGUGUCUGCACACAGCAGGUGCACAGUGAAUAUUUGUCGAAAGAAGGCAGGCAAGAAUGAAGUCACUGUGGGUUCCUCUCAGCCUGGCCCCAACUUACCAGGGAUGUGGUUGCCAUCAUACUUGAUCCCCAUCUGGUGCAGGCCUUUCUCGGUGGGUGCAUACCUCACCGUGAUGGUUCCAUCCUUAUUGUCGGUGAUGUUGGGCCGGGCUGUUUUCCCAGAGGGCAUCCGUACCUCCCCUGCCAGGGAACACAAUUAUGUAGGGGACCUGUUCAUCCUACCACAGCCCACCCUUUCCCUGCUGUCCCAGGCACCAUGAGGUAGCCUGGAGCUGUGAGAUGAAGCCCGAACUGGGACACAGAAGGCUCAAGUCUGAAUUGCAGCCCUGCCCAACUUGCUGUGUGACCCUGGGUAGCUCACUUCCCCCCUCUGGCCUGGAAGAAGUCCCCACUCUGAGCUCUCCUGCCUUGGGGCCCCCGGACAGUACCUGUGAGUUCCCCUUUCUGCACGGUGAAGGGGAUGACCAGGUUGAAGGGCCUAAGCAUGGACUCCAUUGGCUCUACAGGCACCACUGGCUCCUCUGUGGCCUGGGGCAGGGGAGAGGAACAGUCAUUGGCUGGGGAAGGCCUGGGGAGCUUGGCCUGAGUCACAAUUGAAGUCAGAGAUAGGAAAGAACAAGAUGGUUAAUGGUGAAACCAGAGCGGCAGGAGAGGUGUGUCAGCUGCAAGAGAAGAGGUGCCGUGCUCAGCUCAGGGAUGUGUCUGCCCAGCCUGAUUCCCGCCUGCUCCCCAAGAUGGCCCCCAGGCCAUGCCCCAACCCUGGCCACUGAGGAUCAGAAGGAAGAAAUGAAGGAGCAGGAGGAGGGUGACGUGUGGGAGGCGGCAGUACCCAGUGUGUGGGGUAGGGGCCGGGCCGGUGCGGCUGCAGCACAUCGGGAGGCUCCUCCACGUGGGGCAUGGGGUCACACGCCUGGGAGACAAGGCACGGGAGAGCAUGGCUUAUUACCCAGGAGGCCAGUUCACGCCAGCUCAAGUGAGUGAGAGCGGACUCAGAGAAUGGCCCAGAGAUCUGAAAUCUCAGGCUGCCCGUGAGGCAGUAUGGAUAAUUUGAGUGCUUUACCCUCUAGAGGGCUUCAUCGUCCUGCAGGGCCACCUUGGGGGUAUGUAUAGGGACAGUGGGCCUGAGGAUCAGAGACGAACAUGGCAAGUUCCUCCAGAGAGAGCCGACCAACCACUGGAAGGGCCAGAAAACGGGCUGUGCUCAACUCCCAAGUUGGGAGGCUGUGGGAAAUCAAUGGCUUGACUCUGGAACACUCUGGGCCCAGAAUCUAUCAGGUGUGCGGACAGGUUCGUGAUUCCUUGCUGCUGCCAAGAGGGCCCAUCUCCCCAGCCAGUGUCCAGGGCCUUGGAACUUACCAGCACGUGGAAGGGGCUGUUGGGGAUGUGCUCGCCUCCGAAGCGGAUGGUGAUGACGUACUUGCCCGGCUCGGGCGCUGUAUAGUAGAUGUCAAAGGUACCAUCGUGGUUCUCAACCACAUCCACGUCGAGCUCCGCCCCAUCCGGAGUGGAUACCGUGCACGUCACCUUCCCCUUGCCUGCCGCCUUGGCGUCCACCGUGAUCACUGUCUCCUCCCCGAUCUGGAUGCGGGGUCCCAAGCAGGCACCUGCCACCCAGAAGAGCCAAGCCAGGUUGAAGGUCUGUGGGGGCUGUGCUCAGUCCCUCUCCAUUCCCAGCUGCCCCUGCCACCUCAGCCCACAGUGAGAAGAGAAGAAAAAGGGCACUCACCCAGGCCAUGGCCUCCAAUGGACACUGGAAACAGAGAAGAGUGUGAGGCCACGUAGCUGGUAGGACACGGUGUACGUGCCAUCCCCGUUGUCUCGGAUGUUGGCUUUCUUGGGCUUUCCCUCCGGGUCCUGGGGGAGAAGCAGAGGUCAGGGCCUGCCUGUACCCAAACCCUGACCGGGGAAGUGUACUACACAUGGACUCACCAGGAUCUGGACGGUGAGCAAACCCUCACCGGCGUCCCGGGCAUCGAUGGUGAACUCCACGGGCAGGCUGGCAGGGAUGCCAGAGGCGUUGAGGCCGGGGCCGCUGGCCCGCACCUUGCUGGCAUCAUGGGCAGGAAGCACCUUGAUCUUGAAAGGGCUUGAGGGGCAGAAAGGAUGGACAGUUGGCGGGGGGUCUGGGGGGAGGACUCUGGGGCGGGGAGGAGGGGGCAGACCACAUCCUGAGUUUUGUGGGAGGAUUACUCGAGGGUACCCGUGACAGACCCUAAGAAUUUCUGCAUUCCCAGGGAAGAUGCUGUGGUUGGUUUAAAGAAGAGGGUGCAGGAGGCUGCCUUCUCCCAAGACACUCAUUUUGUAGCUACGUGGUGGGAAAGCCCGGCCCAAGGAGAGCCCCUGGGGCUGUGCUGCCUGUGUGGUGACAGGCAGGGAGCCCCAAGGAAGAGCGGGGGGGGGUGUGGCUGAGCCCGAGACCGGAUGGGGCCAGAGUGGUGGGGGGAGGGCACCCCCAGGGCCCUGCCAGUGGCUGGCAGGUGUGGCCCCGGUGGGAGCACCCCAGUGCUCAGCCACAGCAUGGGAGCCCAAGAGUGCUUCUCACCUGCGUGGUACCUCCUGGUCAGCAUACUUGACGGCUACCGUGUAGGGCCCAUCGGUGGCUGGGGUGUAGUGGACGGUGUGGGUGCCAUCUCCCUUGUCACGCACCUCUACAGGCUCGGCUACACCUGAGCAAGGGGGGAGGGUCAGCAAAGCCUCCUGGUGCCCUGCCCCGCCUCCUUCCACCCUGCCCCAGACAUUCGGUACCUGUGGGGCCCAGCACGGCCACUUGCAGUGGGGCCCGGCCGGCUUGGCUGCAGUCCACCGUGAAGGUCUGGGGUACCCGGGCCCUGACACCGGCCCCCAGCCCCGGCCCUGAGCACUUCACCUUCCCAGGGUCCACCACAUCCUUCACCGGCACCCGGAACGGGCUCCCUGCAAGGAGAAGGACAUCAGCCCCUACCCACCUACCCAGAAAGGUCUCUGACGCCGAGGAGGCAGGGGAGAGGUUCUCCCUGCCUUCCCUGCCUCUGAAAUAUCCUCAGAGAGGCCAGACCAACAUGUACAAAUGCUUAGGAACUUGCUCAUAAACGGGGACAAAUAAACUUGGCUGCAGACUAAGGUGAGGCAAACCUUAUGUGCUGGGCCACAGGCCUGGAAGAAGACCUUAAAUUAAUAAAAUGCUAAAAAUGGAUUAUUUUAAAAAUAAAAUGCGCUUUUGACCAUGAA